ensembl:misc_RNA 7SK 7SK RNA
GAAUGUGAAGGUGAUCUGGCUGUGACAUCUGUCUCCCCACUGAUCACCAAGGUUGAUUUGGCUGAUCUGGCUGGCUGGGCAAGUGUCCCCUUCCUCCCUUACCGCUCAAUGUGCGUCUCUCCAGGGGCUGCAUGCUGGGUUGAAGAUGACGACCUUCCCUCAUAGAGCAGAACCAUUCUUCAGUCAAGGUUAUAGGAGUGGCUGAGCGCUCCUGCUAGAACCUCUGGACAAGCUCUCAAGGUCAAUUGGUAAGAGAAGGUAGGGUAGUCCAAGGCUCCAGACAUACCCAAAUGAGGACUUGCACACGACAGUCUGCCUUUCUUA